rnacentral:rRNA from 1 species
AGAGCGAACGCUGGCGGCAGGCCUAACACAUGCAAGUCGAACGGACCCUUCGGGGUUAGUGGCGGACGGGUGAGUAACACGUGGGAACGUGCCUUUAGGUUCGGAAUAGCUCCUGGAAACGGGUGGUAAUGCCGAAUGUGCCCUUCGGGGGAAAGAUUUAUCGCCUUUAGAGCGGCCCGCGUCUGAUUAGCUAGUUGGUGAGGUAAAGGCUCACCAAGGCUACGAUCAGUAGCUGGUCUGAGAGGAUGACCAGCCACAUUGGGACUGAGACACGGCCCAAACUCCUACGGGAGGCAGCAGUGGGGAAUCUUGCGCAAUGGCGAAAGCCUGACGCAGCCAUGCCGCGUGGAUGAUGAAAGCCUAUGGGUUGUAAACUCCUUUUAUCAGAGAAGAAAUAUUGACAGUAUCUGGGGAAUAAGCAUCGGCUAACUCCGUGCCAGCAGCCGC